UACACAGAAGAAAACAGGGGAAGGGGAUGAUAAAACAAUCGACACAAAAAGGUAACUGAAGUUCUGAUUAACUGGACGAUUAAAUUGGAUUAAAUGAAGAGAAACACAGGUCGACACGAAAUGUAAUAUAAUGCGAGGAUAGUGGAGAACGAAUAAACGAUGGGAGGGGAAAAGAAACUUAGUUUCUAUCAAGGAAACGUUGCUAAACUGAAGAAUGCUUCCUACGAGUCCUUUGAACUGAAAGAAUAUUCCUGCAAGUCUGUACAACGUUUGCCAUAACAAGUUAUCUCGAGGAGUCUGACUAGUUUGAAAACAAACAAACGGAAUCAAUUUAGAUCUUCUAACAGAAAUUUCAAAGUGAAGAGACUCCUGAAGGUUAAAAGUAUCUGUUAAAGAGCUUUCACAUGCAAAAAGAAUCGUCCAAGUGCCUUUGGAGGGAACCUUUAGGACUUUGAAGGAAAUCAGAAGGUGAUAUUUACAUGGAUAUAACAACUGAAAUACGUACGUUGGGUUAUCAGAAAAGUUUAACCGACUCUGUAAAAAGUAACGUCCCAACCUGAGAUCUAGGUGACCUAGGAGGUCUAGAUGGUCGUCUUCCUUGAAGCAGAAUCGCUGGGAGCAUCAUAUCGACUCCCAAGGGAACUAUUGGUUCUCCAGAAAGUUCAUGCCAAUUUUUAAGUAACCAUACUUUAAGGUAGAUGGCGAUUACAAAAUUCUUAGGUUGGUCCGUCACUUUUUCUAGAGUUCAGCGACUUUUCGACAUCUUCCAAGCAUCAGUUUGCACUGAAUCUAUCGCUAAACAGCAUGUCGGAGCAAUUGCUUUAACGCUUGCUAAAGAUUCUGCUUCUCAAAUUAGCAAAAAUAAGGAUAAUGCCGACUCAAACCACUUGAAUGCUUCCAGGAUACUCACUUAAUUCGUACUCCUUGAUGGCAGCUAGCGUGAGAAAUUUACAUAUCGACAAAUUUGCUCACCCUGUACAACGGUAGGCGGUUGCCGUGGACCCUGUAUAUUGUGUGCAUGGCACCGUGGCUUCAAUAAGCCGUGAUACAAGAUGAAAUACAAGGCGGCAACGCCUGCUGCCGCGACGGCC